rnacentral:rRNA from 1 species
GACGAACGCUGGCGGCGUGCCUAAUACAUGCAAGUCGAACGCAGUGGGGACGGGUGAGUAACACGUGGGUAACCUCCCAUCAGAGGGGAUAACACUUGGCAACAGGUGCUAAACCGAUACUGAUGGAUGGACCCGCGGUGCAUUAGCUAGUUGGUGAGGUAACGGCUCACCAAGGCCACGAUGCAUAGGCGGGCCGAGAGGGGGAUCGGGCAAAAUGGGACUGGGACACGGCCCAGACGCCUACGGGAAGCAGCAGUAGGGAAUCUUGGGCAAUGGACGAAAGUCUGACCGGACAACGCCGGGGGAGUGAAGAAGGGUUUCGGAUCGGAAAGGUAUGUUGUUAAGGAAGCGGUACUUAACCAGAAAGGGACGGCUAACUACGUGCCAGCCGCCGCGGUAAUAC